CCUGGUGUCCCAGGUCUAAAUCAGGCCCUGAUUAGAGGGGAAUCACCCACCUGGUGUCCCAGGUCUAAAUCAGGCCCUGAUUAGAGGGGGAAUCACCCACCUGGUGUCCCAGGUCUAAAUCAGGCCCUGAUUAGAGGGGGAAUCACCCACCUGGUGUCCCAGGUCUAAAUCAGGCCCUGAUUAGAGGGGGAAUCACCCACCUGGUGUCCCAGGUCUAAAUCAGGCCCUGAUUAGAGGGGGAAUCACCCACCUGGUGUCCCAGGUCUAAAUCAGGCCCUGAUUAGAGGGGGAAUCACCCACCUGGUGUCCCAGGUCUAAAUCAGGCCCUGAUUAGAGGGGGAAUCACCCACCUGGUGUCCCAGGUCUAAAUCAGGCCCUGAUUAGAGGGGGAAUCACCCACCUGGUGUCCCAGGUCUAAAUCAGGCCCUGAUUAGAGGGGGAAUCACCCACCUGGUGUCCCAGGUCUAAAUCAGGCCCUGAUUAGAGGGGGAAUCACCCACCUGGUGUCCCAGGUCUAAAUCAGGCCCUGAUUAGAGGGGGAAUCACCCACCUGGUGUCCCAGGUCUAAAUCAGGCCCUGAUUAGAGGGGGAAUCACCCACCUGGUGUCCCAGGUCUAAAUCAGGCCCUGAUUAGAGGGGGAGUCACCCACCUGGUGUCCCAGGUCUAAAUCAGGCCCUGAUUAGAGGGGAAUCACCCACCUGGUGUCCCAGGUCUAAAUCAGGCCCUGAUUAGAUGGGGAAUCACCCACCUGGUGUCCCAGGUCUAAAUCAGGCCCUGAUUAGAGGGGGAAUCACCCACCUGGUGUCCCAGGUCUAAAUCAGGCCCUGAUUAGAGGGGGAAUCACCCACCUGGUGUCCCAGGUCUAAAUCAGGCCCUGAUUAGAUGG